GCUGACGAGUGGCGGACGGGUGAGUAAUGUCUGGGAAACUGCCUGAUGGAGGGGGAUAACUACUGGAAACGGUAGCUAAUACCGCAUAACGUCGCAAGACCAAAGAGGGGGACCUUCGGGCCUCUUGCCAUCGGAUGUGCCCAGAUGGGAUUAGCUUGUUGGUGGGGUAACGGCUCACCAAGGCGACGAUCCCUAGCUGGUCUGAGAGGAUGACCAGCCACACUGGAACUGAGACACGGUCCAGACUCCUACGGGAGGCAGCAGUGGGGAAUAUUGCACAAUGGGCGCAAGCCUGAUGCAGCCAUGCCGCGUGUAUGAAGAAGGCCUUCGGGUUGUAAAGUACUUUCAGCGGGGAGGAAGGGAGUAAAGUUAAUACCUUUGCUCAUUGACGUUACCCGCAGAAGAAGCACCGGCUAACUCCGUGCCAGCAGCCGCGGUAAUACGGAGGGUGCAAGCGUUAAUCGGAAUUACUGGGCGUAAAGCGCACGCAGGCGGUUUGUUAAGUCAGAUGUGAAAUCCCCGGGCUCAACCUGGGAACUGCAUCUGAUACUGGCAAGCUUGAGUCUCGUAGAGGGGGGUAGAAUUCCAGGUGUAGCGGUGAAAUGCGUAGAGAUCUGGAGGAAUACCGGUGGCGAAGGCGGCCCCCUGGACGAAGACUGACGCUCAGGUGCGAAAGCGUGGGGAGCAAACAGGAUUAGAUACCCUGGUAGUCCACGCCGUAAACGAUGUCGACUUGGAGGUUGUGCCCUUGAGGCGUGGCUUCCGGAGCUAACGCGUUAAGUCGACCGCCUGGGGAGUACGGCCGCAAGGUUAAAACUCAAAUGAAUUGACGGGGGCCCGCACAAGCGGUGGAGCAUGUGGUUUAAUUCGAUGCAACGCGAAGAACCUUACCUGGUCUUGACAUCCACGGAAGUUUUCAGAGAUGAGAAUGUGCCUUCGGGAACCGUGAGACAGGUGCUGCAUGGCUGUCGUCAGCUCGUGUUGUGAAAUGUUGGGUUAAGUCCCGCAACGAGCGCAACCCUUAUCCUUUGUUGCCAGCGGUCCGGCCGGGAACUCAAAGGAGACUGCCAGUGAUAAACUGGAGGAAGGUGGGGAUGACGUCAAGUCAUCAUGGCCCUUACGACCAGGGCUACACACGUGCUACAAUGGCGCAUACAAAGAGAAGCGACCUCGCGAGAGCAAGCGGACCUCAUAAAGUGCGUCGUAGUCCGGAUUGGAGUCUGCAACUCGACUCCAUGAAGUCGGAAUCGCUAGUAAUCGUGGAUCAGAAUGCCACGGUGAAUACGUUCCCGGGCCUUGUACACACCGCCCGUCACACCAUGGGAGUGGGUUGCAAAAGAAGUAGGUAGCUUAACCUUCGGGAGGGCGCUUACCACUUUGUGAUUCAUGACUGGGGUGAAGUCGUAACAAGGUAACCGUAGGGGAACCUGCGGUUGGAUCACCUCCUUACCUUAAAGAAGC
rnacentral:rRNA from 2 species